GAUUAACGCUGGCGGCAUGCCUAACACAUGCAAGUCGAACGAUGGCUUCGGCCAUAGUGGCGCACGGGUGCGUAACGCGUGGGAAUCUGCCCUUAGGUUCGGAAUAACAGAGAGAAAUUUCUGCUAAUACCGGAUGAUGACGUAAGUCCAAAGAUUUAUCGCCUAAGGAUGAGCCCGCGUAGGAUUAGCUUGUUGGUGAGGUAAAGGCUCACCAAGGCGACGAUCCUUAGCUGGUCUGAGAGGAUGAUCAGCCACACUGGGACUGAGACACGGCCCAGACUCCUACGGGAGGCAGCAGUGGGGAAUAUUGGACAAUGGGCGAAAGCCUGAUCCAGCAAUGCCGCGUGAGUGAUGAAGGCCCUAGGGUUGUAAAGCUCUUUUACCCGGGAAGAUAAUGACUGUACCGGGAGAAUAAGCCCCGGCUAACUCCGUGCCAGCCGCCGCUGUAA
rnacentral:rRNA from 1 species